UACGUAGGGGGCAAGCGUUGUCCGGAAUCAUUGGGCGUAAAGAGCGCGUAGGCGGCCCUGUAAGUCCGCUGUGAAAGUCAAGGGCUCAACCCUUGGAUGCCGGUGGAUACUGCAGGGCUAGAGUCCGGAAGAGGCGAGUGGAAUUCCUGGUGUAGCGGUGAAAUGCGCAGAUAUCAGGAAGAACACCCGUGGCGAAGGCGGUUCUCUGGGACGGUACUGACGCUGAGGAGCGAAAGCGUGGGGAGCGAACAGG
rnacentral:rRNA from 1 species